rnacentral:rRNA from 1 species
GACGAACGCUGGCGGCGUGCCUAAUACAUGCAAGUCGAGCGAAUCAUUAGGAGCUUGCUCCUUUUGGUUAGCGGCGGACGGGUGAGUAACACGUGGGCAACCUGCCUAUAAGACUGGGAUAACUUCGGGAAACCGGAGCUAAUACCGGAUAAUCCUUUUCCUCUCAUGUGGAAAAGCUGAAAGACGGUUUCGGCUGUCACUUAUAGAUGGGCCCGCGGAGCAUUAGCUAGUUGGUGAGGUAACGGCUCACCAAGGCGACGAUGCGUAGCCGACCUGAGAGGGUGAUCGGCCACACUGGGACUGAGACACGGCCCAGACUCCUACGGGAGGCAGCAGUAGGGAAUCUUCCGCAAUGGACGAAAGUCUGACGGAGCAACGCCGCGUGAACGAUGAAGGCCUUCGGGUCGUAAAGUUCAGUUGUUAGGGAAGGACAAGUACCGGAGUAACUGCCGGUACCUUGACGGUACCUAACCAGAAAGCCACGGCUAACUACGUGCCAGCAGCCGCCGUAAUAC